rnacentral:rRNA from 2 species
UCUGGUAGCUAUAGCAAAGAGGUCACACCCGUUCCCAUAUCGAACACGGAAGGCCAGAUUUUAUGUUUUGGUCUUUAGCGUCGAUGGUACUGCAAUAAGACUGGUAAUUUGGGAGAGUAGAACGCUGCCAGAU